rnacentral:rRNA from 1 species
UACGGAGGGUGCAAGCGUUGUUCGGAAUUAUUGGGCGUAAAGCGCGCGCAGGUGGUUCCUUAAGUCUGAUGUGAAAGCCCACGGCUCAACCGUGGAGGGUCAUUGGAAACUGGGGAACUUGAGUGCAGAAGAGGAAAGUGGAAUUCCAAGUGUAGCGGUGAAAUGCGUAGAGAUUUGGAGGAACACCAGUGGCGAAGGCGACUUUCUGGUCUGUAACUGACACUGAGGCGCGAAAGCGUGGGGAGCAAACAGG